CCGACGGUGAGGGGCGAAAGCUGGGGGCACGAACCGGAUUAGAUACCCGGGUAGUCCCAGCCGUAAACGAUGCUCGCUAGGUGUCUGGGAUGGUGCGACCGUUUCAGGUGCCGCAGGGAAGCCGUGAAGCGAGCCACCUGGGAAGUACGGCCGCAAGGCUGUAACUUAAAGGAAUUGGCGGGGGAGCACUACAACGGGUGGAGCCUGCGGUUUAAUUGGACUCAACGCCGGAAAACUCACCUGGGGC
rnacentral:rRNA from 1 species